ensembl:lncRNA
CACCAGCAACCAGGAGGCUCAGAGUGAGUGCAGAGAAGUUUUCCUCCUCUCCUUCCUGUGUGAGAGAUGCGGUCAGAGGCUGACAGACGGGCACAAUGAUGAUCACAAACUGUACUAAAGGGUCUGUGCUACAUCCGGAGCUUGACAUCAUCUCGGAACAUCUGCAGUUCUCCUGCUCACACUUUCUCUGAGGGCUCAUACAUCCAGCCCGGCUGUUGGUGGCGUGUUGGAACAUGCCUUGACUUGUUGUACUGCCUGACUGAACAGACAGAGAGAGAGAGAGAGGCAGCCACAGGAGGAGAGGCAAGAGGCUGGUGGUCAACAGUUUUUCCAGAGUGAAGUGACCCACACAUCGGGA